rnacentral:rRNA from 1 species
UACGUAGGGGGCAAGCGUUGUCCGGAAUCAUUGGGCGUAAAGAGCGUGUAGGCGGCCAGAUAAGUCCGGUGUGAAAUCUCGAGGCUCAACUUCGAGCUGUCGGUGGAAACUGUCUGGCUAGAGUCCGGAAGAGGAGAAUGGAAUUCCUGGUGUAGCGGUGAAAUGCGCAGAUAUCAGGAAGAACACCCGUGGCGAAGGCGGUUCUCUGGGACGGUACUGACGCUGAGACGCGAAAGCGUGGGGAGCGAACAGG